rnacentral:tRNA from 1 species
GCUGGUUUAGCUCAGUUGGCAGAGCGCAUCCAUGGUAAGGAUGAGGUCGCCGGUUCGAUCCCGGCAAUUAGCA